rnacentral:rRNA from 1 species
GAUGAACGCUGGCGGCGUGCCUAAUACAUGCAAGUCGAGCGAACGGACGAGAAGCUUGCUUCUCUGAUGUUAGCGGCGGACGGGUGAGUAACACGUGGAUAACCUACCUAUAAGACUGGGAUAAAUUCGGGAAACCGGAGCUAAUACCGGAUAAUAUUUUGAACCGCAUGGUUCAAAAGUGAAAGACGGUCUUGCUGUCACUUAUAGAUGGAUCCGCGCUGCAUUAGCGAGUUGGUAAGGUAACGGCUUACCAAGGCAACGAUGCAUAGCCGACCUGAGAGGGUGAUCGGCCACACUGGAACUGAGACACGGUCCAGACUCCUACGGGAGGCAGCAGUAGGGAAUCUUCCGCAAUGGGCGAAAGCCUGACGGAGCAACGCCGCGUGAGUGAUGAAGGUCUUCGGAUCGUAAAACUCUGUUAUUAGGGAAGAACAUAUGUGUAAGUAACUGUGCACAUCUUGACGGUACCUAAUCAGAAAGCCACGGCUAACUACGUG